rnacentral:rRNA from 1 species
CCCUAUGGGGCGCAGCAGGCGCGAAAACUUUACAAUGCUGGAAACAGCGAUAAGGGAACCUCGAGUGCCAGGUUACAAAUCUGGCUGUCGUGAUGCCUAAAAAGCAUUGCAUAGCAAGGGCCGGGCAAGACCGGUGCCAGCCGCCGCGGUAACACCGGCGGCUCGAGUGGUAACCGUUAUUAUUGGGUCUAAAGGGUCUGUAGCCGGCCGGAUAAGUCUCUUGAGAAAUCUGGCAGCUUAACUGUCAGGCUUUCAGGAGAUACUGUCUGGCUCGAGGCCGGGAGAGGUGAGAGGUACUUCAGGGGUAGGGGUGAAAUCUUGUAAUCCUUGAAGGACCACCAGUGGCGAAGGCGUCUCACCAGAACGGACCUGACGGCAAGGGACGAAAGCUAGGGGCACGAACCGG